AUGAUUUAAUUUCAAAAGUCUUAUUUAGAAAUUAAAUGUAACACUACAAAUUAAAUGCUGGUAAUAAGUCCGAACUUCACAAAUAAUAUGAUACUUUUCAAAUUUGACUUACAGCAAUAUAAAUUUGUUAGUGAUAUUACCUACACAUACGUAACACUUUUGUUUACACGGACACCUAACUUUAGGCUCGUGCCUUAGUGUGCGUACAGUUUUUGUUAGUCGUUUUUAUUUUAUUUAUUAUUGUACCUUUUAAAAUAUUUGUGAUCGUUUUUUUACUUAUGAAGUCGCUUAGGCAUAUGUGGCGUGGCUUUCGGAGACCGCGAGAUGCCUUACACUUAUUCAUAUCUUAAGAAUUCGUAAGUUGUUAUGAACGCAACUUUUUAAUUUCGUAGUGAGAAAGCUAUUAAAUGUCUUUCAAUAAACAAGUGUCCAAUACCCGUGCCCGUUGCUGGGUCUCAUUGUUUUGCAAAAUGGAAUUUCCCUGAAAUGUUUUUGUAUCAGGAAAAUGGGUACCAUUUUGUCGGUUGUGAAAAAUAUUGACGGUUGACCGCGUGGUACCGUUCCUGGAUAAAUGUGCAAGGGAAAGCUUAAAACAUUUUCUAGAAUGUAAAUAUAGCGAACGAAUGGAGGCCUGAAUAAUAUAAAUAUAGUAUAUUUUGUCACAAUGUAUGUUAAUGUACAGAGUUAUAUAUAUUUGUACUUAAAUUGUGUAAAGCUUCCGUGAAAUUAUGUUGGAAAAAGUAUUUGUGAUGAAUUUGAUUUUUGUAAAAUAUUUUCUAGGCGCCUCUGAGGCCUGUGAUCCAUGUUUAGACUUCUGUAUAAAGCGUUUGCUUAAGCCCUAUCUCAAUUUCAGGCACUUCCAUAUAUUGGGAUCGUUAUAAAAUCUCCAUUUUUUUAUGUUGAUCGAUUGUAUAGGAUGUGUUAAGUUUUAGUUUUUUUUUCUAAUGUAAGGGGCGCAGUCAAUUCCUAAAAAAACUAGUUUUAGUCUCACAACGCUGUUCGCUACAUAGCCAUGGCUCGAUAGAUGUAAGUUAAAAAAAAAACGAUUUGUGAUAAUUCAAAAAAAGCUAACUGCAGCUAUGUCUAGACAUCGCUUGACAGUACAGGAAUUGACUCAGUCCCGAAAUAUCAAUGUAAUAUACUGUGAGUUUGUAGCGUACAAGCAAAGACAUGUAUAGUUGUGCGAGUGUGCGAGCGAGAGGCGACGAGUGACUGAGAUAGUUUAAGUCUAGUUAAUAGUUAGGCAAAAACUGUGAGAGCGCAGACAGAGAAAUCAGUUUUUUUUUGCAUCGAGGGAUCAACGGAGGGCUUACAAAAUGUG